rnacentral:tRNA from 1 species
GUCUAUCUAGAUCAGUUGGUAGAGCGCAAGGCUCUUAAUCUUGUGGUCGUGGGUUCCAAGCCCCACGGUGGGCG